rnacentral:rRNA from 1 species
CACAACUCUGAGCGGUGGAUCACUCGGCUCGUGCGUCGAUGAAGAGCGCAGCCAGCUGCGAGAAGUGAUGUGAAUUGCAGGACACAUUGAACAUCGACGACUUGAACGCACUUUGCGGUCUCGGGUAACUCCCGGGACCACGCCUGUCUCAGGGUCG